CUCUCAGAAGAAACAUGCCGAAGAGAAACUCAUUUCUCUUCUUCUUUUUCUUCGCCGUUCUUCGCUUUUUUUCUUCUCAACUUAUUCUUUUUUGUUGUUCUUCGCUCUUUUUUUUUUUCAGUUCUCAAUAGCAUGAACUGAGAAAUCGUUCAUCUCAAUUAAGAAGAAGUCUGGAGAAGUAAAUGGAUCAGGAAGGUUUUACUAAGGUGGUGAUUUGAUUUUGAUUAGGGUUCUUAUUGAUUGAAGAACGACGAAUCAGGAGGAAAUAAAAUUAGGGUUUCUGGAGUUAGUAUUGAGUUUGUGCAAAAUCGAAGGAGGAAUUGGUGGAUUGAAUAACAGAAAGAGGAGAUGGUGGACUUGUAUUAACUCAGGGUAUAAAGGCUAAGGUGAAUCAGAGGCAGGAAGUUAGGGUUUGGAAAUUGAUUUAAGUUUCGAUUUAGUGAUAGAUAAGAAGAAAUCAAAGACUGGGUUUGGUGGUUUGAGAUUUGAAUCGAUGUUUUGAACUUUGAUUAGAGAGAAGAAGGUAGUUUUGUUGCAUUUGAGCUGAGAUUUUUCAAGGUUGAAGAGAUGGUAGUUUUGCUGUUGAUCUCUCGAUGGAAAAUAUGAUGAGGACUUGGACAAUACAGGGUUGGUGGUGAAUCUGUGUGGUCUGAGCUCAAGAUAAUAUGGUGAUUGAAUGGUGUAGUGAAAGGGUAGGUGUUGAUUUCAGCUGAAAAGGUCUGAGUAUGGAGAUGCAGUGAUGUUGGUAUGCAGAAGCUGGCUUGAGAAUGUGUGCAGAUUUCUUGCAGGGAGAAUGGUUGUUGUAGUAGUAGAUGCAAUGGAAUAGAAAAUGGAGCCAAUGAUGCUACAGGAUGAGUCAGUGUUGGUAGUUGUUGUGCAGGCAAGAAGCUACAAAAGGAUUUGGUGGUGAUUGAAUUUGGUUGAAGUUGAUGCUGUUAUUGGUUUGCAAGCAGCUGCUGCAGGAGAUGGAACUGGUGGGAAUGAAUGAGAAUGAUUGUUGCAGUGGAUAAUUUUCAAGGUUUUGGUGCCGCUGUUGGUAUUAGGCAAAUGGUUAGUGGAUGGUUAGAUGAGACUGAAAUGGUGUUGCAGCUACAGAUGGGUGCAAAUGAACUGAAGUUGGUGGUUAUUAUGAUGAAGUUGCUAUUGCAGUUGCAAGUGGUGGCUGCGUCAGGUGGUGCUGAGUAUGGUUGUGAAUUGCAAGUGUUAGCCAUGGUCACAAUGGUUGUGCGAAAGCUGUUCAAACUGGUAGAUCACCACAUGCUAAUCACCAUAGGUCAUUGAAGAACUAGAAGGUCUUGCCCAUGAAGACUGGAAGGUCUUGCCCAUGAAGUCCUACUGUGGUACUUAUGUAGAAUGGAAGCAUGGUUCGCUGCAGAUGCAUACAAGAUAUCAAUGAAAAACUGGGACCAGUUUCCACAUGAAGGACCGAUGUGUGAUCUUUUAUGGUAUGAUCCUGACCGUUGUGGGUGAGGAAUUUCUUCUUAGGAGAUGGCAGCUCCAAUAUAUGUACCGGUAGGAAGGCAACCGACACAAACUGCUCCUCAGAGGAACAAUGCUGAGGAAGAUGCGUUGGUUGCACUCUUGGUUCUGCCUCAGUUGGUGGUGAUCCCUCUUAAAUGGGAUCCAUUCAUGGCUAUACAAUGUCACCGUUACCUAUGAAAAGGCCUUUCGGCCCACUUUGCUCUGAUGGUUUUGCAGUUCUGCUACACAUUGAAUUAUUACUGCAAAAGACCAUGCUUCCACUGCCGUUACAGCGUUAAGUGGUGGGUGAAGAAAGUUGUCGAAGCUGGAAAAGCUAGAAGUGCAAAUGGUACCCACCAGGAAGUCUAACUUACCUGACAGGUGCAUCUUAUGUUGCUGAUUUAGAGCAUUUGCUUACCUUUGUUCUAUUGCUGCAGGUAACUAACUAAUAACAGUUUUCAAGGGGAAAUUCCAUCUCAAUUGACUUGGUAUUAUGAACUUAAAUACAGGGAUUAUGGAGAACUUGAUCAAGAAUGCAACCAAUGUUUUGAGUGAAAUGACUGAACAAGGAGCAAUAGCAGCAACAACAAAUUCUUGCACCGCAGCAUCAGCAGCAGAUUCUAAUACCACAGCAACAACAGCUCCAGUUGCAAUUGCAACUUCAGCAAUUUCCACUACAGACACGUUCAUGGAGCCAAAUCAGUUACCACAAGCAGUAUGGGUUUGGAAUUAUGAACUUAAAGCCAGGGAUUAUGGAGAACUUGAUGAAGAGUGCUUAGCAACUAAUGUUUGGGAAGUAUUUGCAAGUUUUGAGUAAGUUCUUAUGUAGUAUGUGAGUUGAACUUAUAGCGAAUUAAGUGAAAAUAUAGUGAACUUGUUUUAUGUAUUCCAUUUGGUACUUGAAGAAUUUGUAUUCCUUUCUGAUGUGAAUACUUAUAUGAAUUGAUUGAAUGUUAAUAUGAAUUGAUUGCGAAA